UGCACACACACACACACACACACCCAAUUACCAUCAUCAGAAUUUGAUGAGCUUCGGAUUUGUUUUUCAAAAUGUUCCCUUAGGCAAGUUUAAGCUGAAAUUAUUUGGUUUUCUAUUUUUGUUUCAAGAAUGAGCUGUCUUGAGUAGAUUACAGAAGAUGGCAAGAGCUUUAAUUUGAGACAAGAUAGAGAUAGAAUCCACAGGAGAAGGGUUAUAGUUCUAUUUGGAAAUUAAGGAGAAUUACGUGAAGCUAAAUAAGAAAUCACCAUAAAUUUUGAACAUAUUUGUUUAUUGAAUGGAGAAGCUGAAUAAGAUAUAUUAAUUAUAUUGGGAAAUGCCCACAAAUUUUGAAUUGUGUAGCAACUAAGAAGAAAGAUUUUAAGUUGUAGCACAACCUACCAAACUUGCCUUCUUUCUCUCCCCCUUUCUUUAUCUUGAGAUCGUGAAUUGUAGUCAUGUGAUAUGGUGUGUCCUAAAAGCACGCGCAUACCAAAUGAUGCUUUUGAGACUGAUAUAUCUCGUGGAAAUAUUUUCCUAGUACUUAUUUCUGAAUCAGAUGGCUUAAUUUGAAUUUGAUCUUUGAUGGAUUGUUUGCUAAAUUAUUAAUAUGUUGAUAAUCUAUAUAUCCUAACUGAACUUGUCCUCCAAUUUAUGUUCAUAUGUUCUGUCGGGAUGCUUUAUGCAUCAACUUCCAUUAAUUUCUUAUUGACAACUUAUUGUUACCGAAACAAAUAACCAUACUGGUCCAUUGGCCUUUUAUAUUGAAAUUUGGCAGGGGGCUUGUCCAGCAUGUAAG
rnacentral:misc_RNA from 1 species